GUUCUUAGAUACGUUGUAGAGUCAGGGAUGAACCACGUUACUAAGAUCCGCGCCGCCGCGUUAGCAGCUUCUUUACUAAGGAAUUUGCAUACUAGUAAUCAUUUGCUAGUUUACACGAACAAUCUCUCUAAGAAAGUACGAAAUUUAAAAUUUUUUUCUUUAACUAGCUGUGCUUGCAGCAUUUCUGCUACUCCAUUAAUGUUUUUCUUUGAUUCAAGCUUAGCUAGUGGAGGGAAAUAUAUAAUAGCAGUAAUGCUCCUUUUUACGGGGAUAGGCACCACAAGUUUACUUCACUUUUGCACCAAUUCAUUUGUCCACAAGCUUUUCAAAAGCGAGUCUAAUGCCUAUAUCGCGGAAAAAUUGAACAUUUUUGGUUUGAAACAGUACCAUAAAUUUUACAAUAACGAGGUUAUUAAAGCGAAGCCCCGUCCUUUCGUGACUUUCAGUACUACCACUGGUCAAAAUUAUUACGUUCAGUUAGAUUAUUUAAAAGAUCUAAUACUUAAAAAUAAAAUAUUAAGUGUUUCUGAAGAUCCUUUAGCUGUUGUAGAGGAUU